UGGGGAAUAUUGGGCAAUGGGCGCAAGCCUGACCCAGCAACGCCGCGUGAAGGAAGAAGGCUUUCGGGUUGUAAACUUCUUUUCUGAGGGACGAUAGUGACGGUACCUCAGGAAUAAGCCACGGCUAACUACGUGCCAGCAGCCGCGGUAAUACGUAGGUGGCAAGCGUUAUCCGGAUUUACUGGGUGUAAAGGGCGUGUAGGCGGGACUGCAAGUCAGAUGUGAAAACCAGAGGCUCAACCUCUGCCUGCAUUUGAAACUGUAGUUCUUGAGUGUUGGAGAGGCAGGCGGAAUUCCGUGUGUAGCGGUGAAAUGCGUAGAUAUACGGAGGAACACCAGUGGCGAAGGCGGCCUGCUGGACAAUAACUGACGCUGAGGCGCGAAAGCGUGGGGAGCAAACAGGAUUAGAUACCC
rnacentral:rRNA from 1 species